AAGCUCGUAGUGAAUUUCGGGCCUGGCCGGGGCGGUCGGCUUAACGGCGUGCACUGUCUGGCUGGGCCUUACCUCUUGGUGAGCUGGCGUGUCCUUUAUUGGAUGCGUCGGGGAACCAGGACUUUUACCUUGAGAAAAUUAGAGUGUUCAAAGCAGGCCUAUGCCCGAAUACAUUAGCAUGGAAUAAUAAAAUAGGACGUGCGGUUCUAUUUUGUUGGUUUCUAGAGUCGCCGUAAUGAUUAAUAGGGAUAGUUGG
rnacentral:rRNA from 1 species